UGGACGUAGGUUUGAAAACCGAACCACGUUAAACACUUGUCUUGCUCUCUUAUUCUUCUUCUUCAACAUGGCAUCAGAGCACCAAGGUUCUUUACCUACCGGUGCUGUCUCAGAUACAUCCCAGGGAUCUAGUUCUUCUCCCACCCCUUCUAGUCCCAUCCCCUCUUUCAAUAACUUUAUCUCGAUUAAGCUAAGUGAUACCAACUACUUGCUGUGGCGAUCUCAACUUAUUCCCCUCCUCAAAAGUUAUGACUUGUAUGGACUGAUUAACAGAUCCUCUGUCUAUCCUCCACCCACAGCUAAUGGUGCCGCUGCUACUGGCUCAGAUCCUGUGCUUCUUCCCAACCCAGCAUAUACUAGUUGGGUUCUCCAGGACCAACUACUGAUGUGUUGGCUUCUUGCCUUUCUCACCGAAGCUGUUCACACCCAAGUCAUUGGCUACAACUCCUCUCGCGCCAUAUGGACCUCUCUUGAGCAGCUCUAUUCAACCACUUCAAUAGCUCGUAUCAUGCAGUUACGAUUGACGUCCCGUCUCGGACGAAGACCUCUGCCUCCAUAUUCUGAAUGGACUUGGUUCUGAUUAUGCCGCGUUUGUCACAUCCAUUUCAACUCGUGAUAUCCCUGUUAUGUUCCAUGAUCUUCGCGGCAUGCUUCUCACACAGGAGUUGCGUCUUAAAGAUGAUGUAUUGCAUCUUGAUGGCACUUAUCCUAUUGCCUAUGUUGCUACCACUGAGACCCAAGGUAACAAAUCUAAUAACUGUGGCAAUGGCUACUUUCAUGGACGUUAUGGUGGAUGUUCCGGUGGACGUUCUCGUGGGCAGUUUGGUGGCAACCGAUCUUCUAAUGGCUGCUCCAACAAUAACAGGCAACAUCCCAUAAACGGGAAUUCUAAUGGUGCACCACAAGGGCAUAGUUAUUUUACUCCACAUCGCCCUAAUAAUCAAUGUCAGAUUUGCACCCGUAUGGGUCACACAGCCAUUGACUGUCGCUAGCGCUUUAACUAUGCCUACUCCACUGGUUCUUCCGCUCCACCAAUGGCUAAUGUGGCUACUUACAUGCCCCCUACCAAUGAUAAUAUUUGGUACCCAGACUCUGGCGCUACAAACCACAUAACCUCUGAUCUAGACAAUCUUCAUCUCUCACAACCUUAUAAUGGUUCCGAUCAUGUUCAAAUCGGAAAUGGCUCAGGUUUGCAAAUCGAGAACAUUGGCACCUCUUCUAUUUCAAAUUUCCAUCUACACAAUAUGUUGCAUGUCCCUUCCAUUACUCUAAACUUACUUUCUGUCUCUCAAUUCACUCGUGACAAUAAUGUUGCUUUUGAGUUCCACGCUGACUACUUUUUGGUGAAGGAUCGCUGCUCGGGGAAAUGCCUCCUCCAGGGCUGAACUAAGGAUGGUCUUUACCAGCUCGUUCUGAAUAAGAGUACUAAUAAAUGUCUCCACAGGCGCGUUUAGGAGAAAGGGUCUCUGUCACUCAAUGGCAUAAUAGAUUAGGGCAUCCUGCUCUCCGGAUUGUUCGUCACAUCAUUCAUAAUUUUGGGUUACCCAUUACCACAGAGAAAGACUAUUCUAUCUGCAGUGCAUGUCAGCAGGGCAAGGGGCACAAACUUCCUUUUGAUCGGUCCACUUCCAUUUCUACUAGUCCUCUUGACCUGGUGUACUCCGAUGUCUGGGGGCCGUCUCUGAUUCCCUCAACUGAUGGUCAUAGAUACUAUGUGAUGUUUUUGGAUGCUUAUAGCAAAUAUAUUUGGUUGUACCCCUUGACAGUAAAAUCUGAAGUUUUAUCUAUUUUUCAAAAGUUUAAACUUCUUGUUGAGAACCUAUUUGAUCGCAGAAUUAAAAGGUUUCAUAGUGAUUGGGGUGGAGAA